AUGUUAAUUAUGUAGUUAAUUUUGAUAUAAACUGAUCGAUUUAGACUCCUAUUAGAUUGCGGAAAUAUUGCGGAGCUUGCUGUGAGAAAGUACGAUAAAAAAAAAUUCUAUUUAUUUUCAUAUAUAAUGUUACGUUCUGAAUAUCGCAGUAAGUCAAUAAUAAUAUAUUUUCUGCAGUCUCAUCAAAAACUAAAAAAAUAUAUUUCUAUGUGCUUUUGCCCCAUAUUUAUUGUGUUUAACUGUCUAUUAACAUUAAGUGGAUCUCAAUAUCAAACAGGUCAUACAUAAAAAAAAUAUUUUAACUAUGACGCCUCAACUUUUCAGGGUCAUCCAAUCUAGGAUUAUUCUCGUCCUAAUACGCCUAAUUCUCUUAAUCCGGCUUAAAUAUUUUGGAUAGUGGCUAGACCUCAUCGCCUAUUGGAAAGCUUGACUUGGCUAUUGAAAUCAGUAACAGAUCUUAUCAAAUCAACAACAUAUAUAGUUCUAGUAUGGAUGACUCUCUGAAAAGUUGAGACGUUACAUUAACAAAACCAGACGGGGGUAUUUAUCAAUUGUUUCUAAU
rnacentral:lncRNA from 1 species